rnacentral:lncRNA from 1 species
GAAGAGGGUAUUUUGGUUAUUAUUUGGCUCGUGCGAACGUGGUAUAAUUCGCAUUGUCAAUUCGCGAUUAGACGGUUUAUAUUGCAAGGAUAAUCUUAAGUUUAUACCUUUGACUACAAAUUUGUCCCCAAUAUAUAGUCUUUUUUAAUUAAUUUAUUAUUGCAAUUGUGUACGUCUCAGAUGUAUAAAUUCAAGAGAUCGAAAG